GAGUUUGAUCAUGGCUCAGGACAAACGCUGGCGGCGUGCGUAACACAUGCAAGUCGAACGAACGUCGAGAGACGUGAGUGGCGGACGGGUGAGGAACACGUGGGUAUCAACCGUUUUCUGGGGAAUAACAGGGCGAAAGUCUUGCUAAUACCGCAUACGCCCGAGAGGGGAAAGCCGAAAGGCGGGGAACGACGAGCCUGCGGUCGAUUAGCUGGUUGGUGGGGUAAUGGCUCACCAAGGCGAUGAUCGAUAGCUGGUCUGAGAGGAUGAUCAGCCACACUGGGAUUGAGAACGGCCCAGACUCCUACGGGGGGCAGCAGUGAGGAAUCUUCGACAAUGGGGGCAACCCUGAUCGAGCAACGCCGCGUGUGGGAUGACGCAUUUCGGUGUGUAAACCACUUUUCUCGGGGACGAGAAUGGACGGUACCCGAGGAAUCAGCAUCGGCUAACUACGUGCCAGCAGCCGCGGUAAUACGUAGGAUGCAAGCGUUGUCCGGAGUUACUGGGCGUAAAGCGUGGGCAGGCGGUCGCUUGCGUCGCGGAUGAAAUCUCCCGGCUCAACUGGGAGGGGGUUCGCGAUACGGGGCGACUUGAGGGCAUGAGAGGGAAGUAGAACUCCGGGUGGAACAGUGAAAUGUGUAGAGAUCCGGAAGAAUACCAGAGGUGAANACGGCUUCCUGGCGUGUACCUGACGCUCAGCCACGAAAGCUUGGGGAGCAAACAGGAUUAGAUACCCUGGUAGUCCAAGCGGUAAACGAUGUCCACUAGGUGUGCGGGGUAUCGACCCCCUGCGUGCCGGAGCUAACGCACGAAGUGGACCGCCUGGGGAGUACGGCCGCAAGGUUAAAACUCAAAGGAAUUGACGGGGACCCGCACAAGCAGCGGAGCGUGUGGUUUAAUUCGAUGCGACGCGAAGAACCUUACCUGGAUUCAAUCCUAUCUGCACCAGCCGUUAUGGGCUGUCCCCGCAAGGGGCGGGUAGGACGGUGCUGCAUGGCUGUCGUCAGCUCGUGCCGUGAGGUGUUGGGUUAAGUCCCCUAACGAGCGCAACCCCCGGUGCCGGUUAGAUAUCCGGCGCAACUGCCCAGCAAAACUGGGAGGAAGGCGGGGAUGACGUCAAGUCAGCACGGCCCUUACGUCCAGGGCGACACACACGCUACAAUGGUCAGGACAAUCGGUUGCUACUCGGCGACGAGACGCUAAUCCGCCAAACCUGGCCUCAGUUCGGAUUGGAGGCUGCAACCCGCCUCCAUGAAGUCGGAGUUGCUAGUAACCGCAGGUCAGCACACUGCGGUGAAUACGUUCCCGGGUCUUGUACACACCGCCCGUCACACCACGAAAGUGGGCAACACCUGAAGCCGGGUAGCGAACCCUUCGGGGGCGCGCCUGUCGAGGGUGGGGUUCAUGAUUGGGG
rnacentral:rRNA from 1 species